ACUCAUCCUCUCUUUCUCCUCUCUCUCUCUCUCUCUCUCGAUCCGGGGAGGAAGAACCCUAACCCUAGCCAUGCCCAUCUGUGUUACGCUCUCUCCCUUUCUCCAAAGCCCACGAGAGAUCCGAGACAAAGAACCCUAACCGUAGCGAUGGCCUUUUGCCUCCGAGCUCCUCCCUCAUCGCCCUUCUAGUACUUAUCUUCUAGCCGUCCCGCAAUGCAAACGGCCUCUGCCGUCUAGCUUCGAACUUCCUGUUGGGAACUCGGGGAGGCUUCGCCAAAUGGAAUCAAAAAAAUCGAUGGAAUCAAUGGAGGAGGCUGAGAGUUUCCAAGGGCUUGACGGCUUGGAGCUUCUGAGGAGGAGGAGGAGGCGGCGGCAAUGAGUGCACGUACUUGCAGUUCGGACAUGAAGGAGAUGACUUGCGCAGCAUGACGAGGAGAUGGCAGUUCACACAGACUAAUGCCAUCAUGCUGCUGCCACUUGAGCUGCACUGUUUCUUCGUCUCUGAGCUCCCAAAGGUUGAGAUGUUAAGCUCCAACUUCAUCGACUUCUCCUCGAGCCUCACCCAACUCUUCUUCAUCGUCUUCCUGUUCAAGUAGUACAUGUUCCCCGACUGCCACAAAUCAAGGUUACAACACUGAGAUGCCAUCUAGCUGUGUGAUAUAUGAGAAGAACAGGGAGGGAGGGAGAGAGAGAUAGAGAGAAGGUGUUCACUUGUAAGUCCAGGCAUUGUUCCCAUUCUAAAGGGAGGGGAUGAUUGAGGUGGAGAUCAAUCCCAUGAUCCCAAGUCUGCUGCA